rnacentral:rRNA from 1 species
ACUCCUACGGGAGGCAGCAGUGGGGAAUAUUGCACAAUGGGGGAAAGCCCUCGAUGCAGCAACGCCGCGUGGAGGAUGACACAUUUCGGUGCGUAAACUCCUUUUAUAUAGGAAGAUAAUGACGGUACUAUAUGAAUAAGCGCCGGCUAACUCCGUGCCAGCAGCCGCGGUAAUACGGAGGGCGCAAGCGUUACUCGGAAUCACUGGGCGUAAAGAGCGUGUAGGCGGAUAGAUAAGUCAGGAGUGAAAUCCUAUGGCUCAACCAUAGAACUGCUCUUGAAACUGUCAAUCUAGAGUAUGGGAGAGGUAGAUGGAAUUUCUGGUGUAGGGGUAAAAUCCGUAGAGAUCAGAAGGAAUACCGAUUGCGAAGGCGAUCUACUGGAACAUAACUGACGCUGAGACGCGAAAGCGUGGGGAGCAAACAGGAUUAGAUACCCUGGUAGCGUCGU